AUUGAACGCUGGCGGCAGGCCUAACACAUGCAAGUCGAGCGGAUGAAGGGAGCUUGCUCCUGGAUUCAGCGGCGGACGGGUGAGUAAUGCCUAGGAAUCUGCCUGGUAGUGGGGGAUAACGUCCGGAAACGGGCGCUAAUACCGCAUACGUCCUGAGGGAGAAAGUGGGGGAUCUUCGGACCUCACGCUAUCAGAUGAGCCUAGGUCGGAUUAGCUAGUUGGUGGGGUAAAGGCCUACCAAGGCGACGAUCCGUAACUGGUCUGAGAGGAUGAUCAGUCACACUGGAACUGAGACACGGUCCAGACUCCUACGGGAGGCAGCAGUGGGGAAUAUUGGACAAUGGGCGAAAGCCUGAUCCAGCCAUGCCGCGUGUGUGAAGAAGGUCUUCGGAUUGUAAAGCACUUUAAGUUGGGAGGAAGGGCAGUAAGUUAAUACCUUGCUGUUUUGACGGUACCAACAGAAUAAGCACCGGCUAACUACGUG
rnacentral:rRNA from 1 species